rnacentral:rRNA from 1 species
GAUGAACGCUGGCGGCGUGCCUAAUACAUGCAAGUCGAGCGAACAGACGAGGAGCUUGCUCCUCUGACGUUAGCGGCGGACGUGUGAGUAACACGUGGAUAACCUACCUAUAAGACUGGGAUAACUUCGGGAAACCGGAGCUAAUACCGGAUAAUAUAUUGAACCGCAUGGUUCAAUAGUGAAAGACGGUUUUGCUGUCACUUAUAGAUGGAUCCGCGCCGGAUUAGCUAGUUGGUAAGGUAACGGCUUACCAAGGCGACGAUGCGUAGCCGACCUGAGAGGGUGAUCGGCCACACUGGAACUGAGACACGGUCCAGACUCCUACGGGAGGCAGCAGUAGGGAAUCUUGCGCAAUGGGCGAAAGCCUGACGGAGCAACGCCGCGUGAGUGAUGAAGGUCUUCGGAUCGUAAAACUCUGUUAUUAGGGAAGAAAAAAUGUGUAAGUAACUAUGCACGUCUUGACGGUACCUAAUCAGAAAGCCACGGCUAACUACGUG